AACCAUCAUGUUAGACUGAAUGAGUUGCAGUUAUCAUUAGAUUUCACGACAGCACUGGACAAAUGACUUCUCACACUCAGUGUGACUUGAGACAAAGGAUAAACAAAGACAUUGAGUAUGUUUACAUGCACAUAAUAAGAGGACAAUUAUCUUAUUAUGAUAUUAUAAAAAUCAGCUUAUUACAUUAACAUGUUUCAAGCGUUUUAAUUUACUUUUAUUUGUGAAGUUUAUCUAUCACAGGUGGAGACAUACGCACAUACGAAACGGCAAAAAAGACGUUAAAAUCUGGUUUAAGAGCAAAAAAACUACCUGUGCCAAUCAGUUUUUGCCAUUUAUGGGCUUUACCCUAUAAAAGAAAACCAUUUUAUGCAUUUAAAUGACCUUACACGUUAUCAGUUUAUUAAGCGUUUAGACUAUGUAGACACACUCACUGUGCACUAAAAUUAAAAAAAUUGGUUAACACGACCACUCGUGGUGGCUUCACUCAGAGGUUGGAGAAGACAACCGGUGGACUAAACAUCAAGCCUCUGCACGAUUCAGGUAAGUGGAAUAAAAUACAUUGUAAAUAAACAUUAUUAAAACAGAUUGUGAAGUCAUUCAUUCAAAACUUGCUAUGACCUAAGCCUAAAUGACUUAAUUUCUUUUUAGAAUUAAGACAACCUUAGCAGGAGAGCCCCAGCAGUAACUUUCUCUCAAGCAGAUGAGCAAUAAGUUGCUUUGUAUGAACACCACCCUAACAAUCAAGUAGCCUGUUAACAGUAGACCAAAGGUAUGAUGAUCAAUUAUAAAUGCAAUAUGGUUGAAAGGUCAGUAAACAAACAACAAAAAGGUAAUUUCUUAAUAGAAUGUCUAUACAUUUUUUGCUUUUGUUACAUAUUUCAUACAUCAAAAUCAUUAAACGUUAAUAAUUAUGUAUUCCAACUUGUUGCAGCUUGACAAAAAUGUAGCUUGAAGGAGAAGGGACAGCUGAGUAACAAAGUCCUGGUACGCAGACGACGAUACUAUUACACUGACAAGAGUGUAAUGAUGAUGGAGACACAAGCCAGAGAAAGGGGGGACCAAACACCAGGCCAGAAUUCUGCAUGAGUCAGAUCCAGUGGGUGCAGAUCAUCAUACAGAUGGUUCAAGUGUGGAUCCACCUAAUAUUCAAGAUUUUCUGUCCUGGGACACUUGGCUAACCAUCAAGAAAGAACACAGUAGGUUAACAAGAAUCUG